GACAGAGGGUGCAAACGUUGUUCGGAAUUACUGGGCGUAAAGCGUGUGUAGGCGGCCACGUAAGUCGGAUGUGAAAGCCCCGGGCUCAACCCGGGAAGUGCACUCGAUACUGCGUGGCUUGAGUACUGGAGAGGUUGGUGGAAUUCUCGGUGUAGAGGUGAAAUUCGUAGAUAUCGAGAGGAACACCGGUGGCGAAGGCGGCCAACUGGACAGAUACUGACGCUGAGACACGAAAGGCGUGGGGAGCAAACAGG
rnacentral:rRNA from 1 species